rnacentral:tRNA from 1 species
CAGUAAAUAGUUUAUAAAAAUAUUAACUUUGGAUGUUAAAGAUAAGAUUUAUCUUUUUACUGA